ensembl:lncRNA
AGCACAGCCUUGCCCACCUAACUGCUGAAGAGCCUUUAAUUUUCAUCAGGUUCUCAGAGGGGUCUAUUAGCCAAGCAAGGUCCAGAAUCACUGGCUCAGGGGUCAGCUGGAAGGUCAGGGACAGUGAGCUGCUUAAGGGUUGGGGCCUAUGCUGGACACCGUCUGAUGUACUGAUGUUGUGGCAUCCUCACAAGACAAGGGAAAUCAACCCCACUGUCCAGAUGAGGACACUUUCCCAGAGAGUGCCACUUGCUCCUUCAUAACUGAAGUGGUUGAACCAGAGGUGUGUGGACAGUUGACUUCCAAGCUGGCAAUAUGGGAGAGCUGCCUUACUCCGUAAAUAUUCAUCAUGCUGCGAAUAUUGACCAGGGUGCCCACCACGUGCUGGCCCUGUGAACACAGGUGUCCAUGUUCCUGCAAGAGCAAUAAAUCCACCUUUGAAUGUCCUUGUGCUUUUGCCAUCUCAUAGCAGAUUGACUGUAUGAGGAAGAUAGUUAUAUUUGAGACCUCUAAGAAAGCCUUUUGAUUGACACUGAUUAUUUAG